UACGUAGGAGACGAGCGUUGUCCGGAAUUACUGGGCGUAAAGCGCGUGUAGGCGGAUGGGCAAGUCUGCUGUGAAAGCUCCUGGCUUAACCGGGAGUGGUCGGUGGAAACUGCCAAUCUGGAGGACGGUAGAGGUAGGUAGAAUUCCCGGUGUAGCGGUGAAAUGCGUAGAGAUCGGGAGGAACACCAGAGGCGAAGGCGGCGACCUGGACAAGUACUGACACUCGAAACUACGAAAGCGUGGGGAGCAAACAGG
rnacentral:rRNA from 1 species